rnacentral:lncRNA from 1 species
AUGGGCUUGGGACUGCAGAAUAUAGCAUAUGGUCUAUGUUGGUAUGGGGUUUGGGACAAGGACUUUCUUGCAUGUUUGUCCCUGACUGUGAAGACACGCUUGGUGGAGGCAAAGAUGCACUCUGUGAGGUGCCUGCAAAGGGGAUGCAGGACCCUUGGAAUUGUUAAGAACUCUGGACAAGUGCUUUGACUCCGUGAAGUUGCUGCAGCCUUCAGGUUAUCUGGGUACCUGCUUCAGUGAGUAAAGGCACAAAUUUUGUAAUUUUGAGAUAAGCAAGCAACUACUCAGUGUGAGCAGCAGAAGAGAGAGACAAAAGAAACCAGCUGGUGGGGACCUGGGCUUAAGAGAAGGGGAGUAACAGGUGUUGUGGCUGUCAGUAGCUUGAAAUGGGAAGAUGCCAUCUUCUUUGGGCCACAAACAUGAAAAUCUCAAGAAAUGAGAAACUCAAAAAAACCUCAUAUAUUUUUCAGAUAAGAUGUCUGUGAUUUUCUGUGGCCAUUUGUGGUAAUGUGUGUGCAUAUGCACACCACCCUCAAUAAUAAAAUUUCGCAAGAAAACCUCUCUGGUAAUGUG